AACGAACGCUGGCGGCAGGCCUAACACAUGCAAGUCGAGCGAGGACUUCGGUCCUAGCGGCGGACGGGGGAGUAACGCGUGGGAACGUGCCCUUUGCUUCGGAAUAUCCCUGGGAAACUGGGAGUAAUACCGGAGGAGCCCUCGGGGGGAAAGAUUUAUCGGCGAAGGAUCGGCCUGCGUGCGAUUAGGUAGUUGGUGGGGUAAUGGCCUACCAAGCCGACGAUCCAUAGCUGGUUUGGGAGGAUGCUCAGCCACACUGGGACUGGGACACGGCCCAGAUACCGGAGGGAGGCCGCAGGGGGGAAUCUUAGACGACGUGGGAAAGCCUGAUGUCGCCAGACCGCGAGAGCGAUGAAGGCCUUAGGGUUGUAAAGCUCUUUCAGCUGGAAGAUAAUGACGGUACCAGCAGAAGAAGCACCGGCUAACUCCGUG
rnacentral:rRNA from 1 species